rnacentral:rRNA from 1 species
UAUAGAGGGUGCAAGCGUUGUUCGGAAUUAUUGGGCGUAAAGCGCGUGUAGGCGGCUUUGCAAGUCGGGUGUGAAAGCCCUCAGCUCAACUGAGGAAGUGCGCCCGAAACUGCUUGGCUUGAGUACCGGAGAGGAUGGUGGAAUUCCCCAAGUAGAGGUGAAAUUCGUAGAUAUGGGGAGGAACACCGGUGGCGAAGGCGACCAUCUGGACGGAUACUGACGCUGAGACGCGAAAGCGUGGGUAGCAAACAGG